AUAGUGAGAGGAGCUGAGACAGUAGCAGAGCGAACCAGAGGCAGGGAGGAGGCGGUGAAGAAGCAGCUCUCCUCCUGAGCCUCCAUCCCAGAGAAGACAGAGCGGCGGCAGAGUCCCUCCUCGGCUCCACGCUUCCUCAUCCCCCUGCAGCUCCUGAAGUUCACGCCGAGACGUCCGUCGUGAGGUCAAAAGAACACGAUGUUCUGAGAGUGUGAGCUGUGACUGAACCUGCCAAGACUGACUGUCCUGAACACACAGGAUCCUUCAGGAGUCGAUGCAGAGUCUGGCGACAACAGGAGCCUCAACGCUCACCUGGUGUUUCACAAAACACAAGAGUGCAGAAACAGAUAUGAUUCCCACACACAAACACACAACCCCUAACAAAUCAUACUUCUUUCUACUAAUUCAACAAAUGAACAUCUUUUCUAGCAGUAUUAUAUGUGCAUAGUUUAUAAAAUAUAACAAUGAUCAAAAUAAAUCUGUCAGUUGUGGUGAAUUAAAGCCUGACUUAGACUAGAUUUUUGGGCCAAUGUCAACUUUUUUUUAAUGUAUUGGGCAAUAUUUUUAAGAUAUAUGUGUAUUAGUAAUAUUAAGAAUGAAUAUAUUGGGAUUUAUUACAUCUCUAGCAGUGUAUUUCGCAAGCUAGUUAGCAACCUAACAUGAAGACACCAGUUGACUCCGCACCACUGUGAUCUGUACCCUGCUACAUGUGCUGCAGACAGUGGACAAACUGGAUGCUGGACAAACUGCAUCCUAAAACCAUUCUUAAAUCACCCCAAAAUCAUUCUGUUCUGAACAAUAAGAAAAGUUUUAAUUUAAGGCAACAUACACAACAAUUCAAAAGUUUGGGGUCACUCAGACAAUUUCAUGUUUUCCAUGAAAACUCACACUUUUAUUCAUGUGCUAAUCACACAAGCGUUUUCUAAUCAUCAGUUAUCCUUUCAACACCAUUAGCUAACACAAUGUAGCAUUAGAACACAGGAAUGAUGGUUGCUGGAAAUGUUCCUCUGUACCUCUAUGGAGAUAUUCCAUUAAAAAUCAGCUGUUUCCAGCUAGAAUAGUCAUUUACCACAUUAACAAUGUCUAGACUGCAUCUAUGAUUCAUUUAAUGUUAUCGUCAUUGAAAAAAAAUGCUUUUCUUUUAAAAAUUAGGGUAUUUCUAAGCGACCCCAAACUUUUUAACGGUAGUGUAGUCUUGUAUAUGUGUAUUAUUAAUAGUAAAAUUGGAUAUAAAUGGGGUUUGUUAUGUCUCUAGCAAUGUAUUUCACAAACUAGUUAGCAACUUACCAUGGAGACACCACUUGACUCUGCACCACUGUCUGUUCAGCUGCGAUAUGUACUCUGCUACAUGUGCUGCCGACAGUGGAUUAAUGGAGUUGGCGCCAUUUUGCCGGGCAUCCUUAAACCAUUCCUAAAUUACCCCAGGAUUCAGAAUGAAAAGGAAAAAAUUCAUUUCAGGCAGCAUAUAUAGCAAAACUAAUGUAUAUCUUUGAAAGCCCAAUAUCUUUGUAUCGGUAUAUUGGUUGGAUUCUACUGUGAAUGACACCAUGUUAUUUUUGUAGUGCAAUAAGUGGAAUUUUACCAUUAAAACUGGUAAAGAUGAAGAAAAUUGUAUCAGCUUUACCUCUUCUGGUAGUUUAUUACCUAAUGAUGCACCAUAUUUUAUCAAAUAAUCCUGUUUCAGAUCUAAUCUGAUGGAACAAAGUCUAACAUUUACAUCUGAAAUGUAGUGAAGAAGAAAUAUAAAGUAGCAUGCGGCGGAAGUAAAGUCAAUGUACCUCAGUCUCAUCAGCCCGCCCCUAUUUCUUUCCUGUUGCUAGCGAGCAGACACUAGAUUGCAAAGAAAUCACUACAGUCCAUUGAAUGUUCAUUAUUAAUUUCAGCAGCAUCAUUACUGGCCAUUAAAAUGAUGUCUAAUCACAUACAUUAAGGCCAUUAUUAUGAGUUGCAGCCUUUGCGGUCUCCGUGGAAAGCCAAAGUCUUGCUGUAGCCUGAUUAGAAAGAUUAAAUGUAGUCUCUUACCUCACCGCUCACGCCUCAUCUCAUGAGGUCGUUGGUCAGUGCGUCAGUCCUCCUCCACUUCCUCCUCCACCCUCUCCACCCCCGCUGCACCUACGUUGCAUUAUUAAACUCGAAUAAGAUCAUUAGCAUACAAAGCAGGAAACCUACCGCGGCGGAGUCAUGCAUAUUGAUCUGGACGUGCCUGACUUGUGUGCACAUACACUCGUACUGUAACCCUCCUUUUGGGCGUCGAGCUCGACCGGCUCUCUUGCUGCAAGAGAGCCGCGGACACCGACUAAGAAGUGGAUAUUAAUAGGAGCAUGUCUGGUUUUAAGAAGCACAUAUUUAUGUGCGAAACAUCUGCGCAAGGCUUCAUUUAAAACGUGUGCGGGAAAUGUGUGUAUUUGGAAGCAGAGCAGAUGGAGUUCGGUUGGGUUCAUCAGAGCAGUUUGCUUCCGGCAUAUCAAAUAUAGUUUACACACAGAGGAAUUUCUGAAUCUCGUAAUGCCCACAAUACAUAUUCAUCUGCUGCACACAGAGGCACAUAAUCAAACAGAGAGAAACACAAACAGAGAGCACGGCCCCCUGAAUUCUUGUAGCACCUGUGGGCUGCCUCUGGCUUUUGAAUGACUUCUCUUUCUCUCUCUUCCUUGCAUCCUUCCUCACCAAAUUCAACCUUCUUCGCCUCCCUGUUCCCAUGUGGGGAUCACUUUCACCUUGUUUUCCCUCCAGCUGAGAGAACAACCUCCUCCUCCUCCUUUUUUUUUUUUUUUUUUUUUUUUGGGGGGGGGGGGGGCUUCGUGAAGUUGAUAUUCUUUCCUCCUUUUUUCCUUCCUCCUGUGAGAUUGCUGUUGUGUCUUAUGGCUUUUUAUUCCUACGUGAUGGUAGAUGGGUUCAUGUAGGAGUAGAAGCCACUAAACACGCGGUGAGUCCUCGACACGCCGGCCAACACAUGCAGCGAGCGUCCUGUGGCUACGACAGCUGCCGUGUUCACAUCAGCGUCCUGCCUAUUAUCAGGAAUGUAUGCACAGUUUAAACAGAACACAGCAAUCGGUGCAGAGAGCGAGUUUUUGUUCUGGAUGUAAAGGGAGAAAUCUACAGGUCUGUCUUUAAACAUAUUGGUUUCAAGACAAUGGAAGCAUCGGUCCGGGCUGACAGAUCAAUCAAAUCUGUAGCUGUGAACAGACCUACUUUCCUCACCUGCUCGCUGCCUGCAUGUGGCCUGAAUUUCAAACUCAUUCCUGCGUUUCCUCUGCCCCGGGGUCAUUGCACAAAACUGGAGCUGGAAAGUUCUCAAAAUAGAGAUCAGGAGGAGACCACGAUGGAAACGAAACAACUUGCAGAGGUAGGUCAUCAAUGCUGUUUAAUAAUGUACGGGAUCUUCUUCUCUGUUCUGCCAUGAUGCCGAAAUGAGCACACAGAAACCUGUUAGUGCUUCACAUGAAUCGUGUCACACGUAAUAAAUUCACUUUUUGGACAUAAAAUGAAUGUGAAAAUGGCAAUUUCACAUCUUGUCAAUGUCCUGUGAGCUCAGAAAAACCCAUCCAUUGAAAAUCCAUUUUUCAAAAAAGCAAGAGAGAGAAAAGGAAGAAUGUUGUCGACACAUAAAGGAGCAUUUAAUCCCUCAGCUUGAAAAGACUAACAGUUUCUCAGAUGUGGAUUAAGCUCAGUACUAGACUAAAAGAAAAAUUCAAUGAAGACCUCUACUGAAAAUAGUGUUUGUUCUAGGACUAGGCUAACUCCAUAUCUGGGAAGCUAUGACUUAGUUUUCAGCCAUGAUAGUGGGACAAGAAGACUAACCCUCUGAACUCCAGGUAGCUUCUGGGAAUUUGUUUAGUUUUUCUUUGCUCCUGUCACAUUUUUACUCACCUUGGGUUAAUUAAUCACUGAAAGUCCUGCACCUCUUUAGAAGCAGUAGCCACCAUGACUAGAAGUAGAGAGAACUCAAAAAUGUCUCCUGUGCAGUAGGCCACAUUUAUGACACAAAUCAUAAAAGAAAAAGAAAAACAACCGUUGAAUUUCUUUGAUUUCUUACUUUACAGUAAUUCUGAAAAACUGGAAUCAACACGUACAAGAUUUCUCCAAGUGCCCACAGCCGUUAAUGGUACUGAAAGAAAAGGUGACUCUACAUACAAUAGAGAUUUUACUACUUACACUAUCGUUAAGAGGUUUGGUGUCACUUAGAAAUGUCCUUUUUAAAAAAUAUAUAUAUAUAUAAAUUUUUUAUUUUCAGUGAAGACAACAUUAAAUGAAUCAGAAAUCCAGUCUCGACAUUGUUAAUGUGGUAAAUGACUAUUCUAGCUGGAAACGGCUGAUUUUUAAUGGAAUACCUCCAUAGGGGUACAGAGGAACAUUUCCAGCAACCAUCACUCCUGUGUUCUAAUGCUACAUUGUGUUAGCUAAUGGUGUUGAAAGGAUAACUGAUGAUUAGAAAAGCCUUGUGCAGUUAUGUUAGCACAUGAAUAAAAGUGUGAGUUUUCAUGGAAAACUUGAAAAUGUCAGGAUGACCCCAAACUUUUGAACUGUAGUGAAUGUUUUAAAGCAGUUUCCAUUCUUGUCUUCUGUUUUGUGGAAACACAGCCUGCAGUUCAACCCAGUUCAGCCAAAAAUUUGUAUCAUGCUGUUGUUGGUCACAACCGAGUCACUGAAGGCUUCACAGCUCGUCAGAGAAACACAGUAUUUUUUGUUUUUUAAAGAAUCUAGUUCAGGCAAGCAGUUUAUUUUUAACAUUUUUUGUAAUAAAGUGAUUUUGAAUAAAUGUCAUGACUUUAAGAUUAUAUUUGGGUCAUUUUCCAAAUUGAACUGCAGGUCUCAAAUGAUUUGGAAAGUGAAACUUCUGAUAAUUUUUCUCUUUUUAAUGCUUUCUGGCUCUGAUAAAUGGUGGGAUUUUGGCAGGCGAUGAGCCUUUCAAACGCACCAGCUGGUUUUCUAAGCUUUUUCUGAGCUCUAAGAAAGUUUCACAAUUAUUGCACAUAAAAAUGCCUUUUGGUCUACUGUUGUUUUUUGGUUUUUUUGGUGGAUUCAGUACUGUGAGUGAGAUGAAUCAGUAAAUAAAUCCAGGAUCUUCAUUGGUUGGUUUCUCUUUGGGGUAAAUACAACUGAUGUGUCACUGGCUUUGAAGAGAAUGAGCUUAAGUAUUUGAAAAAAUGACAUUUUUGACCAAGCGAUGGAGCAAAAUGAGAAUUGGAGAAUCACCAAAGCAGUUACAGUAAUAUGAUAAUCCAUCCAGAAGUUCUUGACUCAAAAACAUAAGAACUGAUUUGCUUGUGGCACUGGAGUAGAAGUCAUGGGACUAUUUUAUAUCUAAUUCCAAGUAUAUCCGGACUUUAUUCAGUCCUCUUUUUAAGCUUCUCUCAUUUAUCCUGUUAAAGUAGCUGCAUGAAUCUUCCUAAUAAAAACUUCUUAUUGCCAUUUCAACAGUAUUCAAUCCUUAACAUGGCUUUUAUUAUUAUUAUAUACGUUGUUCUUCAUUUAUAGUUUUUCCACCUCUGCUUGUUCUCGUCGACCGAUCUACGGUCAUUUUAGAAAACUCAGUGUUUAUUUAAGGAAAUAUGGUAUGUUUUUACUGUUCAUCCAGCAUUUUAGAUGUGGAAAAACUCCCACACAUUCAGAUGCAUUUGGGUACGCUCCUUCUAAAGGUCUUUCUCUUUGGACUGAUCAAAUUGAUUUCCACUGUUGAGUCACUCUUUAACUCUUCAGACUCCAGUUUGAAAACUUCAGCUCCUCUUUGUGCCAGCUUCUGAAACUUUGGCCGCUCGCAAAUUAGAUUUCAAAUUUUGGCCCAGCUCAAAAUGGCCGAUAAUGGUAUUUAUCUGCGGUAACUUUCUGCCUGAGAUGAACUCGGUGUCAACCAAUUAAACAGGAAAUUCAAAUUAUCCUGCUCGUGGGUCCAGUUUGGUGCUGUGGGGUUUGAGUUUAAAUGUCAACCUUCUGUUUGUAUUUGCUGUAAAAUAAGCCGCUCGCUCUUUCUCCACUGAACAGAAUCUGAAUAAAGCCUAAAUGGGUCGUCGGGAAAACCAAAAACCGAAUUAGUAAUCCCAGGGUAUUACAAGAAUUCGACACAUGCUUGCAAUUGUGUGACACUGAUAGGAGUCGGAUAAUUAUUCAAGAUGAAAUUGUAAUAGAUGAGGUCUGCUGAGGUUUAAUGAUUUAUUUAAGGCUGUAAGUUAUGAUCUAAUAUUCCGUGGGUGGGUUGGCAAGUUUCUUUUGCUUGCAUUAUCAGUUUAAUUUAUUUUUCAGGUUCCCACUCCUACGUAGGCUUUUCUUCCCCUUCUUUAUGGAGACACGAGGAGGGCUGAGAGAAUAGCAGAGCAGGGGAGACACAUUAGAGGCUGAGAGAGGAUUCGAUCCUCGACCAGCGGGGGUCCAUGGGAAUCUAAAGGUGGGGAAUCAACCAUCGUGGCGUCGAUGGGAAACAGCCUGCAUUAUUUAAAACGGCAUAUAAAGGCAAAGUUGCGUUUCAAUAGAUUGCUGCCCUCCUCAAUUGCGCCUGAGGGUGUGUGUGCCUUUUUCCUGUGCUGCAAAACCUCACAUUUUCCAAAAUGUCAGAAUGAUCGCUGAAAUAAGUCAGCACAGCCUCAUUUUCAUUUUGACAGCUGUGCAGUUUUUUUUUUUUUAUUCUUUAAAUUAUGCAAUGGCUUUCAUGAAUCCUCGAGCUUUACAAGGUCACACAAUCCUCCGUUUCAGGUAUAAAAAAAUAAACAUGGAAAUCAUCAACAUCGGCAUAAUGGGGUUUUUCAUCUGACAGCUGCAGUAAUGUAGUGUGUUUGUGUACAGUAGAUUUAAUGUAUGAGUGUUGUGCUACUUUAUCUACGCCCCCUCAGGCUGCACUUUGAUUUUCCUGUAAUAAAUAAUGCUCUUUUGUGUUCUGUGCUUCAUUUGUUCCCUGUUGUAACCUCAGAACUGCUCAAUAAAUUAUGAAUCACGCCAGUUCAA